AUGGAUUCAAACAGCAAGCAGAUUGAUGAAAAACUAGGAGUGAAGCCGGCACAAAAUGUCUCAUUCUGCCAAAGAAAGAACUCUGGGAAUGGGAGUUUUGUGUCUAAAUUAAGAGAUCACUUUCAUGAAUUUAUUCAUGCAUCUGUUGAUGAACACAGGAGAUGCUUAAGAAACACAAUCGAAAAGAUAUUUAAUGCAUCAAAGGUUUUUGGAGAAAACAGUGAAAGCAUAAACGAAGGUGAAAACUCAGUACAACUUCAUUCAUCUAUAAGGAAAUAG